GCCGGUUCCAUUUUGCAUGCUAGCUCGUUCAGUAACAGGUUUCGCGUUUAGUGCAUUCAGGGCCAUUUUCCCUCUCCCAUCUUCUCACCAGAGCUUUGAUUCCUUCGUACAGAACAAUCCGAAUCAUCAUAAAAUCUCCAGUCCCCUGUAGGGUGUACCCACUGUAAAUGUCCCCGGGAUCCAUAAGCCGAGCGCCGUCCUUUUGCAUCGCGCACACAAAAAGACGCCUCUGAUUAAUAAUCUCUCACGCGGCACCCUGAGGCCGAGGCAGGCAGCCCCAGGACGCCAGGGAGGGCGCGGAAUUCUCAGGGCCUGGCGUGCGACACAGAUUCCAGAGACUUGCGUGCGACCGGCGAGGUUCCCAAGAGGAUUACUACUUGGGGAAAGACAGCCACAUCCCAAAUAUUGACUCCUUUCUUAGGCCGGGGGAGGGGGCGACAAUGCCGAUUACCGUGAAUUUCUGCUUGCGCGAGCUGGUAUGUAGCUUAUGCAUGCGUGAGUGCAGGCCCAGGUUGCGUGCUUUUCCUUCCUUCCUUCCUCCCUCCCUCUCUUCCUUCCUCCCUUCCUUUCUCCAUUCCUUCCUGAUUACUGAAAUCAAUCCAUUCUUUCUGUGACUAGCUCCCACGAAGCUAGGAUUUCUACCUCUGACUUCCUGAUGCGCUCAGCACCCCACGCCGGGGCUCCGGGGCAGAAAGGGCCUAGAGCUGGAAAAGCUUAAGCAGCCCUUCCGUCGGGGCCUCGAGCUGCGCCCCAGCCAAUCCAUCUCCCCUUUCUGUGCCCGAAGGAGCUCCCUUGAGCUGACCACUGGCCGCCGCGGUCCCGGCCAGGCGGAGGUGGAACUCUGAUGGGCUUGAGUUCGCCCCCAGGCCUCUACACCACCACCCCAACCUCAGCACUGGGGGCAAAGCUGUCUGCAAAUGCCGGGGGCACCCUCUGCGAUCUCCCCGCCGGAGGUUAAGAUUUGGACUCUUCCUUAAGAAUUAAGGCUUAAAAAACUUAAUCUUGAGGUAAAGGCACAUUUGGAGUGCUGCGGAUAUUUUUGAGAGCUAACAGUAUACAUAGUGUUUAAGGCAUGUAUGUCAAAGGAUAUGUAUGUCAACUACACUUUGAUAAAUGUGUGUGCGUAUGUAUGACAUGUAUAUAUCCUAUGCCUUGGGGGUUAGUUCCUGUUGGGAAAGACGAGCGUGCCAGGGAUCGGCAAGGCCUGACAAAGGAUGAGGAUGGAAAAGCCAAGUCGUGUAUUCCAAAGUUACUUUGUCUCAUGAGUCCUUUCUGUAAAAACAAUUCUUUUAUAGCCAACUCGUAUGAAAAGAAAAUGUGAUAUCGACGGUCCUAGCAGCAGAUGGAGAAGGGGGAACUCAGCUGCCCCUCACCCCUAAAUCCAUCCUUUCCCUGUGCCAACUUCUGAGGCUAAGGCUCCACAUGGGCCUCAGAAACCUGACUGGGUGUGACUCAUACCAGUUUGCUCAAAUAUCAAAAUAUGUUCCAUCCCCUCAAACGAUUGGGGUAUUUGAACCAGUCUGCAGCCUAGAGAUUUCCAUUUAAAAUGGCCAUUAAAAAGCACCAGAAUUAAAAACAUAAAAUCUUUUCA
ensembl:lncRNA